CACGUCUUCCUCCCUUGUUUAUGAGAAUGUCACAGAAGAUGGUGCAGCCCUAAAGCCCCUGUACAGGAACACCUCCUUCUCCCCUGUACAGCUGGGCUGCUACACCGCCGGCAGAAAGGGCUGAAGCAGUGGGAAGCAUUUUCUGAGCUGCGUGCACCCUCCACAGCCCUGUUUGGAGAAGUUUUAUCCCAGGGAACACAAGAGCGAAAAAAACAUUGACCCAGCACCAUUUCCAAACGACUUUGAAGGAAGGAUAUCCAAAGACAAAGACCCUUGGCAAACAGCAAUGCCAAAGCCAUGCAGGAGGGAUGAGCAGACCCACAACUGUUUUUCCAUUUGAAAUUGACAAUCACGACUUCAAGAGGCAUUUUAAGGAAAAUGAAACCCCAGCUACUCUGUCAGACAGCUAUGAAUUGAGCCAGCUCCUCUUGGCUUGCAGUGUCCCAGCAAAUGCUGGUUCUGCAGCAAUGGCUCUCACAUGGGCUGUGGGUGCAAGCCCUGCUGCAGCGGUGGCCGUGCAGUGCUGUGCAAAGCCCUGUCCUGGCUCCAUACCAGCGAUAAGCACUCCUGUUCAAACAUAGCUGAAUAGCAAGGGAUGCUGCAAGCGCUGCAGGGAGACAGCCCUUGCUGAAGGAGGAAAGGCGCAGGGGAGCAUGCCCUGGCACAUGCUCCCCGGGGUGGCCACCAGCCAUGUCCAGCAGUAACGUGGGGUUUCCUGUACGUUGUGCUGAUCCAUAAGCUCCAACAGCCUCGUCAGUCCCAUGGUAGAAGUGGGAAUAGCAGCAUAAAUUUCUCCACUGAAGAUAUAGAAGAGCUGUGAUAAGUGCUUAAUCAAUUGAUGCCUUCAGGGAUGAAAGUGCAAUCUAAGUUGACAAAAAAGCUGGGUGCAAGCAGGAUAUUGGGACUGGCUGCUGGUUACACAUGAUGACAGCUGUGUGAUGCUGAUUUUAUCUUGGAAGGGAUGGGAGUGCCGGAAUAGACCAUCCAUCACGUGCACAGCUGUAGCAGCCCCCACUGAGGUGAAGAUCCAUCCCUUUGGAGCAGGGAUUCAAGCGUGGAGUCACAGCUGAGCAACAUGAGCUUGGGAACAGGCAGGGGAUGGAUCCCCCUGCCUUAAUAAAACCUGAGAGCCCAAAGUACAAUGGGUCAGAUGUAGGAAACUGGAUUUUCAAGAGGCAGCAAGAGUGGGAAAGGCUGGGCAGGGAAGACCUAACUUCUAUCCUGUCACCAGACUUCAGAGCAUCUGUGGGUGGACCAAAUAUCUGAGCCCAGAGAUCCAGGAGUUUAUUGGGCUUACCUCUGGAUUUGAUUUAAUCACACUCAGCCAGCCUGAUAAAAGCAGAAGCUAGAUGUUGCUUAAUGUCUAAAGAAUUAGUUCUGCUGUCUUCUAAUAAAGCACGCUGAUGUAAGCUGGAGUUGAUAACAAGAUUGCUGUGCUGGGGUAACAAAAUCUCAUUUUGCAGGACAACCUAACUGUCAGUGCCAAAGAGCAGACAGG